rnacentral:tRNA from 7 species
ACAUAUAUGGUGUAGUGGUAGCUACUCUUGGCCUUUGCUUAAGAGGUCCCUGGUUCAAAUCCUCUUAAGGGCA